rnacentral:rRNA from 1 species
UUUUAUUUGAGAGUUUGAUCCUGGCUCAGGAUGAACGCUGGCGGCGUGCCUAACACAUGCAAGUUGAGCGAUUUACUUCGGUAAAGAGCGGCGGACGGGUGAGUAACGCGUGGGUAACCUACCCUGUACACACGGAUAACAUACCGAAAGGUAUGCUAAUACGGGAUAAUAUAUUUGAGAGGCAUCUCUUAAAUAUCAAAGGUGAGCCAGUACAGGAUGGACCCGCGUCUGAUUAGCUAGUUGGUAAGGUAACGGCUUACCAAGGCGACGAUCAGUAGCCGACCUGAGAGGGUGAUCGGCCACAUUGGAACUGAGACACGGUCCAAACUCCUACGGGAGGCAGCAGUGGGGAAUAUUGCACAAUGGGCGAAAGCCUGAUGCAGCAACGCCGCGUGAGUGAUGAAGGCCUUCGGGUC